rnacentral:sRNA from 1 species
CUUGGCGGGGGCGUAGCGGUCGGGGUCGUCGCCGAACUCUGCAAGCACCCGCGCGCCGAGGAUCUGCCCUAGGCCGGGCUGG